CUUUUUUUGAACAGAAUCUGAAAAUAUAAACCUUUAUGAAAUAACAAGGACCAAUAAUUUCUACAAAAUGGGACUGUUUGAGAAGAAAAAUGAGCAUCACAAUGAGACCUCUCAAGCUUAUAAUAACAGAACAGACAACUUUAUCUGUCUCUCAAAUGUUACAUAAUCUUUAAACUCCCUUUGAACCUCUCAAGUUGUGUUGAUCUUCUCAUCAAACUGCAUUUGAAACUUGUUCUGAAAACUCCCCACAUCCUUCAAGGGCAUAUCUACAAUCUGCAGAAUCUGCAGCAGUUAUGACAUUGACACAUACAAACACUAUACUCAAAUUUCAGGUACCCAAAAAAUGUAAAUUUGCAUUGCUAGAAAAGGAAAAUACAGAAGCAGAACAAUCUGCAAUUGCAUCAUUGGUGUGUACCUUUUGUUGAUUUCUAUCAGUUGGUAACAUUACACCACCACCCCUUCUAGUUCUGGCAAGAAGGCCUUUUGUUAUUGGUGACAUCAUCAUAUCAGUUGGACUUGUAUAUCUGAGAAAAUGCAGAAAAACACUGCAUCAUGGCAUCACUAACCCAAUUACAUAGUCAUCACCAUCU
rnacentral:sRNA from 1 species